GUGCUGGCUUCAGCAGCACGUAGACUAAACCUGAACACAGAGAAGAUUAGCGUCCUCCCUGUGUAAGGAUGACCUGCAAAGUCGUGAGGCGUUCCACAUUUUU